rnacentral:misc_RNA from 1 species
AACGCAUCUUGCGCCCUUUGGUAUUCUGAAGGGCAUGCCUGUUCGAGUGUCAUGAAAUCUCAUCUCGUCGGGUUUCCGAUGACGAUGGACUUGGGUGCUGCCGUCUGGCUCGCCUUAAAAGUGUCAGUGGUUCUGAAAUCGAAUCUGGCGUCAUAAGUUUCGCUGGCCUAGAUCAAAGGCUGCUCAUAAUCCGUCUUCUGACAUUUUCGCUCUGACCUCAAAUCAGGUAGGACUACCCGCUGAACUUAA